rnacentral:antisense_RNA from 1 species
GUUCAUGGCGGAUGGUGCGUGGGGGUCUUAGGGCCCGUCGGCUUUCGUACUACGUAUCCGGCACGCCAACCCGCACCGUCCGCCACCUUG